rnacentral:rRNA from 1 species
UACAGAGGUCUCGAGCGUUGUUCGGAUUCAUUGGGCGUAAAGGGUGCGUAGGUGGCGCUGUAAGUCGGGUGUGAAAUCCUGAGGCUUAACCUCGGAACUGCAUUCGAUACUGCGGCGCUUGAGGACUGGAGAGGAGACUGGAAUUCAUGGUGUAGCAGUGAAAUGCGUAGAUAUCAGGAGGAAUACCGAUGGCGAAGGCAGGUCUCUGGGCUGACACUGACGCUCAUGCACGAAAGCGUGGGGAGCAAACAGG